rnacentral:tRNA from 1 species
GCCCGCAUGGCUCAGUUGGUUAAGCACCUGACUUCAGUUCAGGUCACAGUCUCACAAUUUGUGAGCUCAAGCCCCACUUCAGGCU